AGGACGAACGCUGGCGGCGUGCUUAACACAUGCAAGUCACGGGGGCUCGCAAGAGCAACCGGCGAACGGGUGCGUGACACGUGAGCAACCUACCGAUUUGUGGGGGAUAGCCGGCCUAACGGCCGGGUAAUACCGCAUACGCUUUCCGGGUCUCCUGACCUGGGAAGGAAACCUCCGGGGCAAAUCGAGGGGCUCGCGGCCUAUCAGCUAGUUGGCGAGGUCACGGCUCACCAAGGCGACGACGGGUAGC
rnacentral:rRNA from 1 species